CCUACGGGGGGCAGCAGUGGGGAAUAUUGGGCAAUGGGCGAAAGCCUGACCCAGCAACGCCGCGUGAAGGAAGAAGGUCUUCGGAUUGUAAACUUCUUUUAUGAGGGACGAAGGACGUGACGGUACCUCAUGAAUAAGCCACGGCUAACUACGUGCCAGCAGCCGCGGUAAUACGUAGGUGGCAAGCGUUAUCCGGAUUUACUGGGUGUAAAGGGCGCGUAGGCGGGGAUGCAAGUCAGAUGUGAAAUCUAUGGGCUUAACCCAUAAACUGCAUUUGAAACUGUAUCUCUUGAGUGCUGGAGAGGUAGACGGAAUUCCUUGUGUAGCGGUGAAAUGCGUAGAUAUAAGGAAGAACACCAGUGGCGAAGGCGGUCUACUGGACAGUAACUGACGCUGAGGCGCGAGAGCGUGGGGAGCAAACAGG
rnacentral:rRNA from 1 species